CAAAAGGAUUUAUUUAAAGCCACUCAUAAACUAAAUCCAGGGAUGU
rfam:Equus caballus chromosome 10, whole genome shotgun sequence.